GAUGAACGCUAGCUACAGGCUUAACACAUGCAAGUCGAGGGGCAGCAUGAACUUAGCUUGCUAAGUUUGAUGGCGACCGGCGCACGGGUGAGUAACACGUAUCCAACCUGCCGAUGACUCGGGGAUAGCCUUUCGAAAGAAAGAUUAAUACCCGAUGGCAUAGUUCUUCCGCAUGGUAGAACUAUUAAGGAAUUUCGGUCAUCGAUGGGGAUGCGUUCCAUUAGGUUGUUGGCGGGGUAACGGCCCACCAAGCCUUCGAUGGAUAGGGGUUCUGAGAGGAAGGUCCCCCACAUUGGAACUGAGACACGGUCCAAACGCCUACGGGAGGCAGCAGUGAGGAAUAUUGGUCAAUGGACGAGAGUCUGAACCAGCCAAGUAGCGUGAAGGAGGACUGCCCUAUGGGUUGUAAACUUCUUUUAUACGGGAAUAAAGUGAGGCACGUGUGCCUUUUUGUAUGUACCGUAUGAAUAAGGAUCGGCUAACUCCGUG
rnacentral:rRNA from 1 species